rnacentral:rRNA from 1 species
UACAGAGGUCUCAAGCGUUGUUCGGAUUCAUUGGGCGUAAAGGGUGCGUAGGUGGCGCCAUAAGUCAGGUGUGAAAUCUCGGGGCUCAACCCCGAAACUGCACUUGAUUCUGUGGUGCUCGAGUACUGGAGAGGAGAUUGGAAUUUACGGUGUAGCAGUGAAAUGCGUAGAUAUCGUAAGGAAGACCAGUGGCGAAGGCGAAUCUCUGGACAGUUACUGACACUGAGGCACGAAGGCCAGGGGAGCAAACGGG